rnacentral:rRNA from 1 species
UACGGGGGGAGCAAGCGUUGUUCGGAUUUACUGGGCGUAAAGGGCGCGUAGGCGGCCACCGCAAGUCGAUUGUGAAAUCUCCGGGCUUAACCCGGAAAGGUCAACCGAUACUGCGGGGCUAGAGUGCAGAAGGGGCAACUGGAAUUCUCGGUGUAGCGGUGAAAUGCGUAGAUAUCGGGAGGAACACCUGAGGCGAAGGCGGGCUACUGGGCCGAUACUGACGCUGAUGCGCGAAAGCCAGGGGAGCGAACGGG